rnacentral:rRNA from 1 species
CAGUAGCCACGGUAAUACGAAGGGGGCUAGCGUUGUUCGGAAUCACUGGGCGUAAAGGGUGCGUAGGCUGGUUCUUAAGUCAGGGGUGAAAUCCCGAGGCUCAACCUCGGAACUGCCUUUGAUACUGGGGAUCUUGAGUCCGGAAGAGGUGAGUGGAACUGCGAGUGUAGAGGUGAAAUUCGUAGAUAUUCGCAAGAACACCGGUGGCGAAGGCGGCCCACUGGUCCGGAACUGACGCUGAGGCACGACAGCGUGGGGAGCAAACAGGAUUAGAUACCCCCGUAGUCCCUGUCUCUUAUAC